UACGUAGGGUGCAAGCGUUAAUCGGAAUUACUGGGCGUAAAGCGUGCGCAGGCGGUUUUGUAAGUCAGAUGUGAAAUCCCCGGGCUUAACCUGGGAACUGCGUUUGAAACUACAAGGCUAGAGUGUGGCAGAGGGGGGUGGAAUUCCACGUGUAGCAGUGAAAUGCGUAGAGAUGCGGAGGAACACCGAUGGCGAAGGCAGCCCCCUGGGCUAGCACUGACGCUCAGGCACGAAAGCGUGGGGAGCAAACAGG
rnacentral:rRNA from 1 species